UGGGUUACAAAGCAGAUUCAAUAAAGAUGUCCAACAACAGCUCCAAGCAUUUGAGAGGAAGAUGAAAGAUAGACACGGUUCUGCUGCGUAUCUCCAUGCUGUGGCAUUUAACAAUGAGGUUGAAGACAGGCAGCGCUUCCGUCAGCUGUGGAGCAGUGAGGACAAGCAACGGAUUAUCCAGGAGAGAAUGGAGUUUGGCGGGUGUGUGGUUAUUGGGCUUCUGAUGGGCUAUUUUGUGAGUGGAUGGAAUGGGUUCACUCCUGGACUGCUCACAGGAAUUGGGAUUUGGUUUACAGGAGGUCUGAUAAGACAUGCAUGGGGACCAUGAUAAUUGGUACCACAGAAACUUACUGCACUUCUCAGCUGGGGUUUACUUCAUACAUCAGGAUUUAUUAAGGGUAAUCAAACACUAGGAAACAUGCAUACAGUCAUGCACCCAGACAGUGCACACAGUAUCACAGGGAUAGUAAAAUAUCUGUAAAUAACUGUAAAAUAAGUUUCUCCAAACAGCCUGACAGAACAAACCUAUGACCUGUUGCUGUGGACUUAGAAAUCCAUUGCGUGAUGAUUGUAUAGAGUUUGGCAGGGAAUGCUCCCCUUCCCACUGUUCACAUGGUACGGCCCGCUAUGUGCAGUAGGCAUUCACUGUCCUAUUUGUAACCACGCCUUCCUUGUUAGCGCACAUCUGCGCUAGGUAGUUGUAGUAAUGUCUGUGUGUAUGUAAACUGCUGUGGGAAUGUGCAUCUUUGUCGGUCUUUGCUCUUGAUCCUGUUCCGUGUACGUUCGAGUUCCACGUUAUGUUUGUGAGCUAUGUUCUACGUUGCCCAUGUUCACCUUGCCUGUUCUAUGUGAAUGCCACUGUUUGCAUUAUCUGUGUGUGUCUAAAUAAAUAUCUGUCUCUGUUGA